UACGUAGGGUGCGAGCGUUAAUCGGAAUUACUGGGCGUAAAGCGUGCGCAGGCGGUUUUGUAAGUCAGAUGUGAAAUCCCCGGGCUUAACCUGGGAAUGGCAUUUGGGACUGCAAGGCUGGAGUUUGGCAGAGGAGACUGGAAUUCCUGGUGUAGCAGUGAAAUGCGUAGAUAUCAGGAGGAAUACCGAUGGCGAAGGCAGGUCUCUGGGCUAUAACUGACGCUCAUGCACGAAAGCGUGGGGAGCAAACGGG
rnacentral:rRNA from 1 species